AUGUAAGAAAAAACCCUAAUCUAUCACCCUAAUGUGUCAACAGUUUCAAAAACCUUUCAUCACCGAAGGCUUAGAUCGGUUGAUAUUAGUUGAGAUUAGUUGGAGUUCGAAGUUUUGCUUUUCAUUUCCUGCAUUUUCUCACUAACCAAACAGACCCACUUCACAAUGUUGUCUGUUUUCCGACAUGAUGUGUAAAAUCUAGCUUCUCACGCAAAGAGUGUCUCCUGCUAGGUAACUGUUCUUCCAAGAGGAUUUGGUUAAUGUCGAAUUCGAGGUCAACAACUGCAGGAUCUUAUGAGCUUCAUGUCAAGUAUGCUAGAAAUUGAGUGGUGUGGUAUCCUUAUUUGACUACCGCGUCCCAAGGUGGGCAGUCUUUUUUUACGUUUCAUGGGGCCUGAGUCUGCCGCCAUGUGGAUUGCGUGUCGUGUUUAUUUGCUUGGUGAUUGGGAAUUUAUAACUAAAUAUCAUUAGGAGUUGCAAUUGGCAAUCCAAAAAGGUCAUCCUGCACUCCUCGAAAUGCAGUUUCUACCUUAUGUUUCUACACGAGAGGAGUGCAGGAUGAAUCUUUGGAGUGCUAAUUAAUAACAUCUCCCUCAUUUUAUUACUCGUAGAUGUUCAUUGAUGUCCUGAGCAGGUUCUUUCUGAUGAACGAAAGACUUGAGAGCCUAAGGAUUGUUCAAUUAGACCAUAGAAUUCCAUGUGAUAGUGAGAGGUAGGUAUUCAGCUGUAUCUAUUUGAUUUUUACUAGAAUGUAUGAACAUUUCCUGCGAUGGCUUAUAUCGGGAUUAAACCAAGUUGUGAUUGUUUAAUGAAAUUGAACCCCGAUGUUGAAUAUGUUUUCAUGUGUGAAUACAUGGAAUGGCUGCUUGGCAGCAUGUCUCCAAUCUU
rnacentral:sRNA from 1 species